ensembl:misc_RNA Metazoa_SRP Metazoan signal recognition particle RNA
GCUUGUGUAGAAUUCUACCUUUACCCACCGGGCUACUCGGGAGGCUGAGACAGGAGGAUCGCUUGAGUCCAAGAGUUAUGGGCUGCACUGAGCUAUGCCGAUUGGGUGUUCACACUAAGUUCGGCAUCAGUACGAUGGCCUCCCGGGAGCCGGGGACCAGCAGGUUGCCUAAGGAGGGGUGAACCAGCCCAGGUUGGAAACGGAGCAGGUCAAAACUCCCGUGAGGAUCCGUGGUGGAAUGAGGCCUGUGAAUAGCCGCUGCACUCCAGCCUGGACAACACAGCAUAGCGUGCA